CUCGCUUCUCGGCCUUUUGGCUUAGAUCAAGUGUAGUAUCUGUUCUUACCAAUCUAAUAUCUGAUGUGUUCCCUACCCAGGGACCAUAUAUUAAACUGAUUUUGGAACAGGGAGAUGGAAUAGGAACUUGCUCCGUCCAUUCCACGCAUCGACCUGGUAUUGCCGCACCUCCAGGAACGGUGCACCCCUC